rnacentral:rRNA from 1 species
CCUACGGGAGGCAGCAGUAGGGAAUCUUCGGCAAUGGACGGAAGUCUGACCGAGCAACGCCGCGUGAGUGAUGAAGGUCUUCGGAUCGUAAAACUCUGUUAUUAGGGAAGAACAUAUGUGUAAGUAACUGUGCACAUCUUGACGGUACCUAAUCAGAAAGCCACGGCUAACUACGUGCCAGCAGCCGCGGUAAU